UACGUAGGGAGGGAGCGUUAAUCGGAAUUACUGGGCGUAAAGCGUGCGCAGGCGGUUUCGUAAGACAGGCGUGAAAUCCCCGGGCUCAACCUGGGAACUGCGCUUGUGACUGCGAGGCUAGAGUGUGUCAGAGGGAGGUGGAAUUCCACGUGUAGCAGUGAAAUGCGUAGAGAUGUGGAGGAACACCGAUGGCGAAGGCAGCCUCCUGGGAUAACACUGACGCUCAUGCACGAAAGCGUGGGGAGCAAACAGC
rnacentral:rRNA from 1 species